ensembl:lincRNA
AGAAGGAACAAAAGGGUAACAGUGUUCUUUCUUGACAUUCCUGCCAGGUAAAUAAGCAGAGUUAAUUUCUCACUCAGGUUAAAUUGCUUUCAAAUAUUCUUGGAUGUGAAGAGAAUUUCACCUUUGCUCUUGCAACGCUCCUGUGAAGCAAGUCUCCUUAACUACAGAAACCACAUUUGGGCUAAGUUUCAAAUUAAGGAUAUCCUUGCAAUUCUAUAAUACUUGAAAUGAUGCAAGCAAUUUAUUGAGCUGGUGCAGAAAGGAGGAAGGAAAAAAAAAGACUGCCAGAAAGCCCUCAGCCACGGAGUUUCCCUGAGACUUUCUGUGAGGCCUGCAAUUUGUUUUGAGUUCCAGCUCCAACAUUCUCCAAGGGCCCAGCAAUCACCAUCACAUAUGGGUGGACAGGAAAGGGCAUACCCGAAAAACGAUACCAGCUGUGGAGCCAGCCAUGCUACACGUUUGCACCUUCUGGUCUACUCCAAGUAUUGCAUUUCCCACGUUCACUCCUGAAGGUAGUGAGACAGGUAAG